GCCGCGGAGGCUGUGGAUCGCCUGGUGGAUGUUCUGCGGGGAGGCAUCAGGUGAAGAUCUAGUAGAAGAAGGAGAAGAGGAUGUCGGAGAAGAUGACCGAAAUCAGUCCCGUUGAGCACUCCUUUGAGAACAAGGGUACUACAAAGACACACGCCCCUCCUAGCGCCAAUUCUAUUGGUGCAGAAUUCCAUCGAAGUCAGAGAAGCUGGAGCUGGG
rnacentral:lncRNA from 1 species